CCUAUUGGAUUCACAUGUCCCCAAUAUGUUUCUUUUUGUGGAUGCUCAAGUGGAUCACCAUAAACCUCACUUGUACUAGUAAGCAAGAACCUUGCACCAAUUCUCUUGGCAAGUCCCAACAUGUUAAGUGUACCCAUCACAUUUGUCUUGUAAUCAUAGUUAAGGAUCGCAAAUACAUCCAAUCGAAUAAAAUAAUAAAAUACCAAUUAAACAUGCACGAAAUUCCUUAACAUGUUAAUUAGUGCAGAACACUAUCAGAUACUUAAAAAGCCAAAUUGAUGGUCAAGCAUCAUAAAAGCUAAAUUAUAGCAAACUUUCUACGAUAAGCAUGGAUUAGCAACCUGCAACAUGUGAAUAGCACUAUCACAUUUGCCAUGUAAUUACAGUUAAGUAUCUCAAAUACAUCCAAAUUAAUAAAGAUGAAAGACCCUUCCAGGUAAGGGUAAAGGUCCGUGUACACCCUACCAGGUAAGGGUAAAGGUCCAAAUUAAUAAAGAUGAAAGACCCUUCCAGGUAAGGGUAAAGGUCCGUGUACACCGUACCUUCCCCAGAUCCCACUAGUUGAAUUUUACUAGGUAUGUUAUUGAUAGAACUCCAAUUAAUGAAUAAAAAAAGAAAAAGAUAACGUGGUGCCUUAAGCUCUCUCUGUACGCGGGGUCCAUGGAAGGGCCAAAUAACAUUGGGUCUUAAGUAUACAGCCUUACCUUUCAUUUAUAUAAGAGGCAGUUUUGGUAGCUUGAAAUCGUGACCUCCUAGUCACAAGACUACGAGGCUACAACUUUUACCGGUUCACCAAGGCUCACCAAUUAAAACAUGCAGGAAAUUCCUUAACAUGUUAACAGUAAUGGAGUUUAACUUUUAUACAUUUGCAGUACAAAAGAAUAUUUAUAGCAUGAGGCUACUUAAAAGUAAAUUAUAGCUAGCUUUUUAUAGCAAGCAUUAAUUAGUAACCUACAAAAGAUGGUAAACGACAUGUUAUAUCACGUAAAACUACAUUGAUAGUAUAAAAAUAGUUUACACUAUCUAUAACUUAAAUCCAUUAUUAACAAGUAAUGAGGUGGAAAAAGGAUAUAAUAGUUUUGACAGGAUUAUACUUGUAAUGAACAGGAGAAGCAGGGCAAGCCAAAUGGUAGAUCUGAUCUACUUCUAACAAAAUAGGCUCAACAACAUCAUGUCUAAUUAAUUCAAACCUAUGAU
rnacentral:lncRNA from 1 species